GCCUAGUUGGCUUGGUGGAUAGCUCGUCUGCCUUGUAAGCGCUAUAUCGCGGGUUCGAUUCCCGCCCGAGGCG
rnacentral:tRNA from 1 species